rnacentral:rRNA from 1 species
UUGAACGCUGGCGGCAUGCUUUACACCUGCAGGUCGAACGGCAGCGCGGGCUUCGGCCUGGCGGCGAGUGGCGAACGGGUGAGUAAUGCAUCGGAACGUGCCCAGUAGUGGGGGAUAGCCCGGCGAAAGCCGGAUUAAUACCGCAUACGACCUGAGGGUGAAAGCGGGGGACCGAAAGGCCUCGCGCUAUUGGAGCGGCCGAUGUCGGAUUAGCUAGUUGGUGGGGUAAAGGCUUACCAAGGCGACGAUCCGUAGCUGGUCUGAGAGGACGACCAGCCACACUGGGACUGAGACACGGCCCAGACUCCUACGGGAGGCAGCAGUGGGGAAUUUUGGACAAUGGGGGCAACCCUGAUCCAGCCAUGCCGCGUGCGGGAAGAAGGCCUUCGGGUUGUAAACCGCUUUUGUUCGGGAAGAAAUCCUCUGGGCUAAUACCCCGGGGGGAUGACGGUACCGGAAGAAUAAGCACCGGCUAACUACGUG